UUUUUUGUGUUUUACGUUUUAAAGUACUUUAGUCAUGUUUAUGUUUUAUCUUUAAUUGACUUAAUCAUAGGUAGUCCGAUAUACCUUGGUAAUAAUAUACCUGUAUAUACAUAUAUAUAGUGCCUUACAGGUGAACCAGCACUGCACCAGAGACAAAAUACAAACAUACAUAGGAAAACACAAAAAUAGAUAUUUGGUAUGUCUACUAGGCAGCAGGACAUGGGAUGUAACUUAUCAACUGGCUCAUCCAUAUUGAUAAACCUGCAUGUGUUUGUAAUCUGGUAAUGAAACGAAAUGUUGCUUGUGAUUAGUUUGCUCUCUUAUGAAAGCCAUAUAUAUUUGUAAUAUCCUAAUGUAUCCUCAACAUUAAAUACCUUUAGAAUUAAUAUUUAUACAAAA
rnacentral:lncRNA from 1 species